rnacentral:rRNA from 1 species
AUAAUGGGUCAGCGACUUAUAUUCUGUAGCAAGGUUAACCGAAUAGGGGAGCCGAAGGGAAACCGAGUCUUAACUGGGCGUUAAGUUGCAGGGUAUAGACCCGAAACCCGGUGAUCUAGCCAUGGGCAGGUUGAAGGUUGGGUAACACUAACUGGAGGACCGAACCGACUAAUGUUGAAAAAUUAGCGGAUGACUUGUGGCUGGGGGUGAAAGGCCAAUCAAACCGGGAGAUAGCUGGUUCUCCCCGAAAGCUAUUUAGGUAGCGCCUCGUGAAUUCAUCUCCGGGGGUAGAGCACUGUUUCGGCAAGGGGGUCAUCCCGACUUACCAACCCGAUGCAAACUGCGAAUACCGGAGAAUGUUAUCACGGGAGACACACGGCGGGUGCUAACGUCCGUCGUGAAGAGGGAAACAACCCAGACCGCCAGCUAAGGUCCCAAAGUCAUGGUUAAGUGGGAAACGAUGUGGGAAGGCCCAGACAGCCAGGAUGUUGGCUUAGAAGCAGCCAUCAUUUAAAGAAAGCGUAAUAGCUCACUGGUCGAGUCGGCCUGCGCGGAAGAUGUAACGGGGCUAAACCAUGCACCGAAGCUGCGGCAGCGACGCUUAUGCGUUGUUGGGUAGGGGAGCGUUCUGUAAGCCUGUGAAGGUGUACUGUGAGGUAUGCUGGAGGUAUCAGAAGUGCGAAUGCUGACAUAAGUAACGAUAAAGCGGGUGAAAAGCCCGCUCGCCGGAAGACCAAGGGUUCCUGUCCAACGUUAAUCGGGGCAGGGUGAGUCGACCCCUAAGGCGAGGCCGAAAGGCGUAGUCGAUGGGAAACAGGUUAAUAUUCCUGUACUUGGUGUUACUGCGAAGGGGGGACGGAGAAGGCUAUGUUGGCCGGGCGACGGUUGUCCCGGUUUAAGCGUGUAGGCUGGUUUUCCAGGCAAAUCCGGAAAAUCAAGGCUGAGGCGUGAUGACGAGGCACUACGGUGCUGAAGCAACAAAUGCCCUGCUUCCAGGAAAAGCCUCUAAGCAUCAGGUAACAUCAAAUCGUACCCCAAACCGACACAGGUGGUCAGGUAGAGAAUACCAAGGCGCUUGAGAGAACUCGGGUGAAGGAACUAGGCAAAAUGGUGCCGUAACUUCGGGAGAAGGCACGCUGAUAUGUAGGUGAAGUCCCUCGCGGAUGGAGCUGAAAUCAGUCGAAGAUACCAGCUGGCUGCAACUGUUUAUUAAAAACACAGCACUGUGCAAACACGAAAGUGGACGUAUACGGUGUGACGCCUGCCCGGUGCCGGAAGGUUAAUUGAUGGGGUCAGCGCAAGCGAAGCUCUUGAUCGAAGCCCCGGUAAACGGCGGCCGUAACUAUAACGGUCCUAAGGUAGCGAAAUUCCUUGUCGGGUAAGUUCCGACCUGCACGAAUGGCGUAAUGAUGGCCAGGCUGUCUCCACCCGAGACUCAGUGAAAUUGAACUCGCUGUGAAGAUGCAGUGUACCCGCGGCAAGACGGAAAGACCCCGUGAACCUUUACUAUAGCUUGACACUGAACAUUGAGCCUUGAUGUGUAGGAUAGGUGGGAGGCUUGGAAGUGUGGACGCCAGUCUGCAUGGAGCCGACCUUGAAAUACCACCCUUUAAUGUUUGAUGUUCUAACGUGGACCCGUGAUCCGGGUUGCGGACAGUGUCUGGUGGGUAGUUUGACUGGGGCGGUCUCCUCCUAAAGAGUAACGGAGGAGCACGAAGGUUGGCUAAUCCUGGUCGGACAUCAGGAGGUUAGUGCAAUGGCAUAAGCCAGCUUGACUGCGAGCGUGACGGCGCGAGCAGGUGCGAAAGCAGGUCAUAGUGAUCCGGUGGUUCUGAAUGGAAGGGCCAUCGCUCAACGGAUAAAAGGUACUCCGGGGAUAACAGGCUGAUACCGCCCAAGAGUUCAUAUCGACGGCGGUGUUUGGCACCUCGAUGUCGGCUCAUCACAUCCUGGGGCUGAAGUAGGUCCCAAGGGUAUGGCUGUUCGCCAUUUAAAGUGGUACGCGAGCUGGGUUUAGAACGUCGUGAGACAGUUCGGUCCCUAUCUGCCGUGGGCGCUGGAGAACUGAGGGGGGCUGCUCCUAGUACGAGAGGACCGGAGUGGACGCAUCACUGGUGUUCGGGUUGUCAUGCCAAUGGCACUGCCCGGUAGCUAAAUGCGGAAGAGAUAAGUGCUGAAAGCAUCUAAGCACGAAACUUGCC